AUUCAAUCCGUCCCUCUUUCCUUUGUUAGCGCUAAUGAUGGUAUCAAUCAACCUAAUUAAUUCUCAUGGCAAACUCACGGUGCAUGCCUUGCAGGUCUGGUCCUCCGCACAAUUUCCUUCCCCAAAUUCUUUAGCCAGAUCUGAUUUCCUCGCCAACACAGUCUCCUACCAUGGGGCAUCUCCUUCAACCGCGACGCCUCUGACACCCACCUCCCCGGCCAUGCCUGAUGCCAGCCUCCGAUUCUCAGGCGCCCCUCCUCCUGCUGAUGGGAAGCACCCCACGGGAGGGAUGCACGGUCGUAUACCUGCCUGGCAGCCGGCCGCCAUGCUUGCAGUCGCUCCCACGGCCACGCCCGCCAUGGCGAGCAGCCGCGGGCAGGGAAAGUGACCAAGACGAUGAUACGCGGCGGAGCUCCGGGCAUGGCCGAUGGAGACGACCACGGCAGCGGGACGAUGGCACUGGGCAUGCCCGCUGGGUGAUGGCCGCGUCAUCGAUGCCUGUCCCCAACUCCCCAUCCCCGUCCCUAAGCUCUAUCUCCGCGCGCUAGGUCGUCGGCAACUAGAUUUAUUCGAGCUUUGACUAUUAAUCUGUAAUAGUGAUAGAUGUAUGAGCAACAUCAGCAGCAUCACGUGAGUUUGGGAAUGGCUGACAUGUGCGGCAUCAUGCUCGGGAACGAGGUAUCCCACGUUGGCCGUCGGUGAGAAGGUGAUCUUGCAGCGAAUUUUUGGUGGCCUCCAACCGUGAGGAUGAAGAGGACAUCCGCACACUUGAGCUCGGCCAGAGAACCUCAACAGAGGAGGUACGUUUCUAUCCAUUCUUCUUAAUUCCUCCCUUCUCGCUUGUAAACUUUGUCCACUCACAUCUCUAUUCUGCCUUUCUCAAAUCCACCCACCAUAGCAUCAUUCUCAAACACCUUCUUAUCUGCAAUUGCUUGGGAGAUGAGAUUUAAUUAUGAUAAGCUUCUGGCUCCCUAACCUUUUGAUCUGUGUACUUAGUUUUUCUUGCCCUCGGACCAAGUAAAUGAAUAUUUAAUUAACACAAACUUUUAUUAGUACAUGAGAAUAAAGUUUCAUUGCAAAUGGUUCAACUCCAACCAGGCAGCCAAUAGUUUGCCAUGUUCAUGUCUGGCUCUUUCCGUAAUAAUCGAGUCGUAGAUUUUGUAUUCCCACUGAUGCCAGCAAAAUGACCACAUAUCAUCCUCCUUUAAUGAUGUUGGAUUAUACAAAGCUUUGUAUGCAGCAGUCAUAUACGAAGUUUCACUUCGGUCUUGAUUGCAAUAUGAAAAUGGUCUAUUUUGCCUGAUGCAACACGAGUUCUUUCAUGUUCUACGUUUACAGGUCCUAUUUUUUAAAUCAUGUAGGUCCUGUUGUUAAGAAGCACCUCGCAACUUCUAUUACAUAAGUGAAAAGGUAGGUAAAAUAAUGUACAGAAAGCAGGUCCGUUGUUACUUGUUACAAACAUCUUAUAUUACAAGAUUUAGUGUGAGAAUGUAUCAUACAAGUUUCUAAAAUUGGCAUACAUGAUAGUGCUAGGCAUGGUUUUAAAGGCGUUGCCUAGGCGACGCUUAGACGUCAAGCCCCCCCCCCCCCCUCCUCCGCGUUGGAAAAUCCACCGCUUUAUGCACGUACGCAUUAGAUCACCCCCAAACCUCUGUAAGACGCCUUAACGCCUUUAAAACCAUGGUGGUAGGCAAUACAGAGCAAACUAGAUCAUGCAAAAAACAUUCUUAUUUGAUGACAUACAACGUGGUUUUAGGAAAUAGAUAUCUGUAUUUGUUUUUUGUUUGUGACCAGUCUAUCUUGGAUCCAGUUAAGCAAAAAUAUUUUAUAUCAACGUAACUAGCACUUGAUCAAAAAUGAGCAACUGAUAGCGCACUUCGUGUAAGCCCCCCCUCAUAAAUUGUAAGUAUAUGAUAUGGAAACCUUUGCUUACGUCUGUUUAUUUUACCAUCGAAUACUUUGAUAACCUAAAAUAUUGCCAUGUGUGUGAGAAUGUGAAAUAAAUAAAUAUGCUAACUACUGGACAAAACAUGCUAUAGGUGUUGUUUCUACUAUGAAAUAUCUUAUAAUUAUGCAGCAUCUUUCUGUUUGUUAAAUAUUUGUUCUGUAGCAUAUCAAGUUUUCAACACCAUGCUUCAAAAUCCAUAUUUCUUUGGACAUAUCUACAAGCAUUAGCCUAUCCCUUGAUCCAUCUGAAUAGCUUCGUUGAGAUGCAUUGAUCUUGUUGUUAAUACUUACUUCCCUUUGUUGUUUGUAAAAUUCCAGCUUUGUGUUGCACACACCACUUUCGAUAUGUAUGAUCAAGUUACAGAGUUCUGAAACAUUCAUAGCACAUAUCGAUAGCUAUAUUUUUUUGUGUUGCUGCAACCUCAAUGGAAUUUUUGUUUUGUUAAGCUGCAGAUGAAUGAAGAAUAAGGGAACAACAAACAGUUGAAGGAAAAGCUCAUAAUUCUGAGCUCACUAGAAUAAUGGAACACCAAAGUAGUGAAUAUUCCUUGAGUGAAAUCUAUAGAUAGAAUUUAGCUCUAUUGUUAUGUGUUGGUAGCUCUACGCUAUCCAUAUAAUUAUUUAAAGCCACAAUACUUGGUUAUCUAUUUAUAUCCAUGUUUUACAGAACCAUGUUAUAUAUUUAGCACAAUUCUCUUCAUUCCUGAAAGAGCCCAUCAAGUACAAACCAACUGUAUUAUAUUCUUGCUUCUUUGGUUGUUGUCAAUUUAUUACAUGGUUUUAUUUGCACAUUAGCUGGUUGCUACAUACCUGCUUCGGCUGAAAUUAUCAUUUUGUGCUUGUGAUAGAGCGGUUAGCGCUGCACUGAAUCGAAGAUGAUAUUUUAAAUAUCUAAUAUAAAUAUGUUUUCUAGGUUCUUCCUAUAAGAUUUCAUAAAUUUGUUUUCUACUUGACUUGGAACUUUAUUGUGAGAAUUAACAGCACUAUACACUUCUGUAACUUAUAAUCAGUUUUCAGCAAAUGGAUUUUGUUCCAGGAAACCAUCAGUCAAUUGCAUCUCAUUUUUUAGUGUUGGGCACACAUGUUUAUGGCUAGAGCUAACUUAUGCAUAACAACAUUAGUUAGACUAGGUGAUAUCAUUUUAGGAUCUAAUCGAUCAUCUUAGUGAUCCCAGGAUGUUUUAUAGAUGAAUCUGCAGUGUUUAUUCUUAUUAGAUUUCGUGGUUUGUAAUGUUACAUUUGCAGUAUGGUUUGUUGUUCACUCGUGUUUCCAUGACGAAGGCACAAAUGCAUCUAAUGGUUCGAAGUGAAUCCAUUAGAAUGUUAUCCUUAUUAGUGUUGUCGGACGCCCGUGAUAUGCUGUUGGUGUUGCCUCCAUUGUGAUGCUUGGGCAUCCCCACAAUUCGCUCUGUUUCUUUGGGGAUCCAAGAUGGAGCGAGGUCAUCGCUGAAUACCGCGAAUUCCGCUUUGUGAUGGUGCAUCUAGAGAGCUAUACCAGCCUGGCAAUGCGGUUGCCAGGUGAUCUGGUACUACCAGGAAAGCCUGCUACAUGCAAAAUUUCAUGGGAAGGUUCUCAUACACCCAGAGCUGCCUCUCCCUCGCAGAGGCAAGCCAAUCGCUGAUGUGCCUUUGACUAUCGAUGUCGUGCCAUGACCUGUGAAACCAGUCAAGACGGAUUCCCCAUUCGUGAAACAGACACUAUGCAUUCAUGAUUACCAGUUUCAUGGAAGAAGUCUCAUGUGCACAACUAGAGUAUGCUAGGUGCGCUGGUAAGGGACGCUCUUGCAUCAAGACCUGAAGAAAUUUGGUUCAGCGUGUGGUGCUUGAAGAUUGGAGAACAUCCUAAAUACUCUUCAGGCUGGGAUUUUAGUUGCUGCCAACUGGGCUCAGUUAGCAGCUUUUGAUGGAUUCAGAUCUGUGAACUGAUUCUUUGGUCUUAAAAGAAAGAAUGAUGGUGAUAUUGAUCGAUCAGGUGUCUGCAUAUCUAUGGCAGAACUAAUGGAUUUCCUGAGUCAAAACUUUGAUUUUUGUUCCUUUAGUUGGCAAAGAGAACUUCAAAUAACAGAGUAGCAAAUGUCGUGGCAAGGUUGGGCUGCUUGUUAAAUUUGUAUGAAGAUGUUCAUGUAGAUAAUGUAAUGCCUGGUCUAUUUGAGAUUAUGGUGAGCGAUAUGGCUCUAUCCAUUAGCAAUGCAGUAUAUGUGCAUUUUCCCUCACAAAAAUAGUACUUCCUCCGUCUAUACAUCAUACAUCUAAAUUUGUCCAAAUUUGAAACAUCUUUUUAUGAACGGAGGGAUUAUGCAUUUGUUUUUGAUUUUCUGAGAUGAAAAAAGUAUCCAUACUAUACCUUCUAGAGGCGUCGGGCCUUCUUACUAGAACAUCUUUUGGAUAUAUGGGACGUGCUUGAGGAUCUGAGGUUGCGGCCUGAUGCACCAGGACGACAGAAGGUGUGCAAGCUGGGCGAUCUGGUCCAUGCGACGUUGCAUGAGGGUUUGUCAGUGUUCUGUGUUGCUUGCGCAGACUUAUUUGUUUGCCCGCAGGAGACGAACACACUAGACUCCCGGAGCAUUCCAACGAUUACAAUAUGUUGUCAUUAUUUUCUUUUGCUGGUGUAUAAGAUAGUGCUGAGCAUACAUUUAUAGAGCCGAUGUGAAUUCUAUAUUCUUGUCGAUAUAUUUUCUACAAAGGAACCAAA